rnacentral:rRNA from 1 species
UACGUAGGGGGCAAGCGUUGUCCGGAUUUACUGGGCGUAAAGAGCGCGUAGGCGGAAGCUUAAGUGUGGUUUGAAAGCCCCCGGCUCAACCGGGGAAUGUGAUUGCAAACUGGGCUUCUUGAGGGGGAUAGAGGAGAGUGGAAUUCCUGGUGUAGCGGUGAAAUGCGUAGAGAUCAGGAGGAACACCCGUGGCGAAGGCGGCGCCCUGGCCCGACACUGACGCUCAGACACGACAGCAUGGGGAGCGAACGGG